ACUCUCUCAGGGUCACACCUGGAGAGUUUCCAGUACUCUACCAGUCUUGGCUAUGAGAGGGAAAGUCAAGCAGAGGCAUACCCAUUCUAUUCCUAGCUUGGGCAAUGGCUAGCUAGUGGAAUGAAAUCUUCUACAAGU